rnacentral:rRNA from 1 species
UACGUAGGGGGCUAGCGUUGUCCGGAUUUAUUGGGCGUAAAGAGCGUGUAGGCGGCCAGGUAGGUCUGCUGUGAAAACUCGAGGCUUAACCUCGAGAUGUCGGCGGAAACCAUCUGGCUAGAGUCCGGAAGAGGAGAGUGGAAUUCCUGGUGUAGCGGUGAAAUGCGUAGAUAUCAGGAAGAACACCGGUGGCGAAAGCGCUCUGCUAGGCCGCAACUGACACUGAGGGACGAAAGCUAGGGGAGCGAAUGGG